rnacentral:rRNA from 1 species
AACGAACGCUGGCGGCAUGCCUAACACAUGCCAGUCGAACGAGACCUUCGGGGCUAGUGGCGCACGGGUGCGUAACGCGUGGGAACCUGCCCUUAGGUUCGGAAUAACUCCCCGAAAGGGGUGCUAAUACCGGAUAAUGUCUUCGGACCAAAGAUUUAUCUCCUUUGGAUGGGCCCGCGUUGGAUUAGCUAGUUGGUAGGGUAAAAGCCUACCAAGGCGACGAUCCAUAGCUGGUCUGAGAGGAUGAUCAGCCACACUGGGACUGAGACACGGCCCAGACUCCUACGGGAGGCAGCAGUGGGGAAUAUUGGACAAUGGGCGAAAGCCUGAUCCAGCAAUGCCGCGUGAGUGAUGAAGGCCUUAGGGUUGUAAAGCUCUUUUACCCGGGAUGAUAAUGACAGUACCGGGAGAAUAAGCUCCGGCUAACUCCGUG